CGCUCCUCUCCUCUCCUCGUCUGUCUGUCUGUCUUUCUCUCGUCUCUCUCCCCCAGGCUUCCUAUUUAUCUUAAUUUGGGAAUGGUGGUGUCAAAUCCAUGUGGCGAUCCAUGUGUGCGUGGGGCUGAUUCUGGAGGGGUUCAGUAAGCAGUAAGGGGGGGAAGGGGAAACCUGUUGAAUGGCACACCCCUUGUUUUUGCCUUUGGAAAAAAAUGCAGUGUGAAGGACAGGGUGCUCCCAACUUAAAAAGCCACAGAUAUUCUCUGGGAGAAGCAUAAGUAUUCUCAUUUACUUCGUGGAGCUUUUUUAAAAAAAAGAGAAAAAAAAACACUGCUAAUUGCAUCUUAAAAACAGUUAAAAACGACCUGUCAUGAAACUAUGAGAAUUUAAAAUUAAUUCCAGCCUCAAGUCUCUGGUUGCGUUAUCUUUUAGAUGUUCUUUUGAAAGAUUUGCCACUGUUGAAGUGCAGCUCAUGGAUGGCUUCUUGACUUCACGAGAGAGCCCAGAUGGCAGGGUGUCCUUGUGAGGUGGUUCUUUCUGGUUUAAAUGAGCAUUUCUCUCUGGAGAAUUAAAGCACUUAAAUGUUUGUGGGUGCAGGAUUAAGACUGGGGCAAAACAAUUAUAUAUAUAUAUAUAUAUUCUACCAAAAAACAACAACAACCCACCCACUCCAAAACCACAAAAGUAGUACUUUGAAUGAAAUUGUAA